GAGAGCGCUCUCGAAACCUCUCACCAUGGCCUGGGUUCCCUUCUACCUUCUGUCCUUCAUUUUUUCCCAAGGAUUUUGUGCUCCACCCACGGUGACUCAGACCCCUUCUGCCUCUGCCUCACCCGGAGCCUCAACCAAACUCACCUGCACCUUAAGCCAGGAGCACAGCAGCUACUUUAUUGAGUGGUAUCAACAGAUUCAAGGCAAGGUCCCAACUUUCCUGAUGCAAGUUAAAAGUGAUGGAACCUUCAGCAAAGGGGACAACGUUCCUGAUCGCUUCUCAGGCUCCAGCUCAGGGGCUGACCGCUACUUAACCAUCUCAAACAUCCAAUCUGUGGAUGAGGCUGAGUACUACUGUGGUGUAAGCUAUAAUAGCUGGUUUUCCACAGUGAUAAAAACAAAGGAGAAGUGA